rnacentral:rRNA from 1 species
CUAGCGUUGUUCGGAAUUACUGGGCGUAAAGCGCACGUAGGCGGCUUGGCAAGUCGGAUGUGAAAUCCCUCGGCUCAACCAAGGAAGUGCAUCCGAAACUGCCGAGCUUGAGUACUUAAGAGGAUCGCGGAAUUCCCGGUGUAGAGGUGAAAUUCGUAGAUAUCGGGAGGAACACCAGUGGCGAAGGCGGCGAUCUGGGAAGAUACUGACGCUGAGGUGCGAAAGCGUGGGGAGCAAACAGG